rnacentral:lncRNA from 1 species
CCUGCCCAGAAUCAUGACCUGCAUCUGCACCUUUGCAGAUGCCUGUGGGAAUGGCUUCAGGGGAUGGUGAUAUGAGGCACCUAAUGAAGAACAUGACACCAGCCUGAGAUGCCUGGGGGAUCUAUAGAACGCACAAAAGAGUACUACAAGUAAAAAGGCAAAAGCCUGCCUUAAGGAAGUUGAAGUUGGAGAAAUAGUUGUUGUUGGCAUCAUCUGUCUCAAAAGACAAUGGAAAGAGCCUGGGAUCUGUCUUUCUUCUACCAUGGGACCUAAGAAGGAAUGUGCAUAGUUUUUAGCAGAUCUUCCAUCUCUACAUUAGAGAUGUGCACAAAUUAAAGUUGCAUGUUUUGUUCUCGAUUGAAUUGAAGACCCAUUUUUUCGUUUUGGCAAUAAACUGUUUAAUCAAACGA